AGGGGUGCAGCUCAGUGGUAGAGCGUGUGCUUAGCAUGCACGAGGUCCUGGGUCCCAUCCCCAAUACAUCUG
rnacentral:tRNA from 1 species